CGUAACCAAAAUUUCCCUUUUCCCCUCUUCUAUUCUUAAUGUUUUCGCAUUUAUUCUCGUUUUGAUUUUGUUUAAAUUGUGAAAUCGAAGGCUAUGAUGUACAAAUCUACCUAUUUUCUGAGAGGAAUUUUAAAAUUUUUUUUUGGUUCUUCUAUGAUUAGAAGAUUCCAAUGGAUCCUUCUGAGCCUUCUUAGAUAUUAUUUUAUCAUUAUUAUUUUGUUACACUAGUUCUGUUUUUAAUAUGUUUGGAAAAAAAAAAUUAUGAUUAAUUUCCGUUGAUAUGAUGAUAAAAUUUCUCGGAAAUAAAAAAAAUUUAAUGUGUCGACACGAAAAAUCAGACUACAAUUAUCUGAUCAGCGGUUCUCUUUCAAUCUCUAAAUUUGGGAUAAUUAAGAAGAGAAAUGAAGCAAAUUGCGAUUUAUUUGUAAUGUUUGGAUCUUUAGAAGAAAAGGAAAAGGAAAAAAAAGUCUUUGGUUGUGUUUAUUUCUUUCUCUUUCUUUCUCAUAAUUUUUUGGAAAAAAAAUUAGACCUUUAUAACUAAAUAAAGAAAAUUUUCUAACUAUUUAUUUUCUCUACUCUUUUUUUUUUCCUCUAUUGAAAUAAAGCAUCUACGUAAGUAUUUCAUCAUAGAUAAUUUUGUUUUCUUGAACUUACCUGUGCACAAUAAGCCGAUGCUCUGGAACUAUCAAUGUAUGUAUAUGAAGGAAGCAUGGUAAUGAGCACAGAGAAUGAAGGAAAAAAAUAGGGUCAUUAUGUCUGCUCACUUUGAUGCCCUCGGGCGAUGAUCUCGCGGGCCUGGAUUGCACCCACACCUCAUUCAUUUAGUUAUUCAUUUUUUUCAUUUUGAUUCGAUUAUUGUGUGUUGCGUGAAUGUUUGCUUACAUAAUUAGACAUGAUUGUUUACUUUCAUCUUAUUUCUGAUGAUGAGAUAUAUGAAUUAAGGAUCGAUAUAGGUAAACAUAACUUAGGUUAUUUGAACAUUUUAAAAUCCAAAAUUUGUGAUUUUAAGAUAUUAUUUAUGUGGUGGUUAAUUGGUCUUAAUAUUAUUUGUGGUUAAAGACUCUUGAUUUUUGACAUUUGCUUGAAUAGUAGGUAAAUGAUGUAGAAAAAUUCUAUUUCAUGUUUAAUGGAAUUGAUUGUCAAUUUGAAUGUUUCAUUAUUGAAAAUAAGGUGGAAGUAAACAAUUCUAUUUUGCCUUUAAUGUAUUCUAAUUUUACCUUGCAUGUAUGUAGUAAUGGUUUGAUUUAAUUCUAGAAAUUUGUAGAUUGGUCGAUGAUGCAAAAUCCUAAGGCUUGUUUCUCAAAACAUUCGCAGUGGCCGCCUGAGAGCUUUCGCCUUGCCAGGCUUGAGAGCUUGUGCUGCCUUAUCCUUCCUUGGAUGCUCUAUCCCAACCCAGGAAAAGAGACCAGACUAAUAUAGUUUUUUAUUUUAACCUUUUCUCAAUUAUUGAUCUAUUAAGCUUUAUUUUCUUUUUUAUUAGAUCACACAGCUUCAAAAUACAUGUCAUUUGUUUGAAGGGAUAAAUUGUGAUAAAUUGAUGGAUUGGUCGAUGAUGCGAAAUCCUAAGGCUCAGGGUUUCUCAAAAAACAUUCGCCGUGGCCGCCUGAGGCUUUUCCUCGCCGGGGCUUGAGAGCUUGUGCUGCUCUAUCCUUCCUUGGAUGUCUGAGACCAGCUGAUAUAGUUUUAUUUCAACCUUUUCUCAUUUUGAUCAUUAAGCUCUAAUUUUCUUUUUAUUAGAUCACACAGUUCAACAUCAUGUCAUUUGUUUGAAGGGAUAAAUGUGAGAAAUUUGUCGAUUGGUCGAUGAUGCGAAAUCCUAAGGCUUGUUUCUCAAAACAUUCGCAGUGGCCGCCUGAGAGCUUUCGCCUCGCCGGGCUUGAGAGCUUGUGCUGCUCUAUCCUUCCUUGGAUGUCUGAGACCACCUUAUAUAGUUUCAUUUCAGCCAUUUCUCGUUUUGAUCAUUAAGCUCUAUUUUUAUUUUUCAGUUCAACAUCAUGUCUUUUGUUUGAAGGGAUUAAUGUGAUGGCUUAUUUUCUCAAACAUGUUAUCAUAAACUCAUUUUUAGAAAAAUCAAUGGUGUUAAGUUUAAACGAGGGAUUUACGUGCAUGCUAAGCACUUACUAGCAUGGUACAACACGGUGUGCCGUGGUAUUUAUGUAUGUCGUUCACAAAAAUUGCUCUCUGUUGACACGCAGUAGCAUGUGAUAGUUAUUUCCUUUGGCAUUGAUAUUUAAUUGAUUUUAUGUAUAUCUUUAUCAAAUUUUUGCUCUUUAUUAAUGUUACUAGUCAAUUUCAAAAGAAAAGAUGGUUUUGAACCUUUCAAAUGGCACGGGGGUCGUAUCAUGCCAAUACAUUAUUGGCGUGAUACCACAUAGUAGGCACAGUUUGUGCCAAUCGGCACUUUAAUCUUUGUUUAACACUUUGGUUGUGAGAAAUUAAAAUUUGUUGACCUAGAUAAAGUUUUUAUGAUAAGUUGUCUUUUAUUGAUAAUUUGGUUCCAAUUCUUAUAUUUGAUCAUAAUUCUUUUGGUUUGUCAUUUCUUACAUUUGAUCAUAAUUUUUUUGGCGUAUCUUUCUCUAGGUCUUGUUCUGGUGCCAUUUCUAAUUCGGCAGUGAACUUGCUUUGAUUCUUUUUUGCAUUUUAAAGGCUAUUUAAAAACUGUGAAAACUUUUUCUUGUGCUCUGAUGCUUAUCAGAGGACUCACUCUUGUUUGUUUUUCU
rnacentral:lncRNA from 1 species